AGAGUUUGAUCCUGGCUCAGGACGAACGCUGGCGGCGUGCCUAAUGCAUGCAAGUCGCACGCGCGGUGCUUCGGCAUCGUGAGUGGCGCACGGCUGAGGAUCACGUGGGAACCUGCCUCCUUGUGGGGGACAACAGCGCGAAAGCGCUGCUAAUCCCGCAUACGCUCGUGGUGACACGAGGAAAGCCGAAAGGCGCAGGGAGAAGGGCCCGCGGCCCAUCAGGUCGUAGGUGGGGUAACGGCCUACCUAGCCGAUGACGGGUAGCUGGUCUGUGAGGACAGACAGCCAGACUGGGACUGAGACACGGCCCAGACUCCUACGGGAGGCAGCAGCAAGGAAUUUUCGUCAAUGGGCGCAAGCCUGAACGAGCAACGCCGCGUGCAGGAUGACGGCCUUCGGGUUGUAAACUGCUUUUCGGGGGGACGAUGAUGACGGUACCCCCGGAAUAAGGCUCGGCUAACUCUGUGCCAGCCGCCGCGGUAAUAC
rnacentral:rRNA from 1 species